rnacentral:rRNA from 1 species
CAGCCGCCACGGUAAUACGGAGGGUGCAAGCGUUAAUCGGAAUUACUGGGCGUAAAGCGUGCGUAGGCGGUUCGUUAAGUCUGUUGUGAAAGCCCCGGGCUCAACCUGGGAAUGGCAAUGGAUACUGGCGAGCUAGAGUGUGUCAGAGGAUGGUGGAAUUUCCGGUGCAGCGGUGAAAUGCGUAGAGAUCGGAAGGAACAUCUGUGGUGAAGGCGACUAUCUGGGCCAACACUGACACUGAGGCACGAAAGCGUGGGGAGCAAACAGGAUUAGAUACCCCUGUAGUCCCUGUCUCCUAUAA